UUUCCGGAUGGUAAACUCCGGUCGUUAGGGACGAUAANGACGGUACCAACCAAGAAAGCACCGGCAAACUACGUGCCAGCAGCCGCGGUAAAACGUAGGGUGCAAGCGUUGUCCGGAAUUACUGGGUGUAAAGGGAGCGCAGGCGGGAAGACAAGUUGGAAGUGAAAACCAUGGGCUCAACCCAUGAAUUGCUUUCAAAACUGUUUUUCUUGAGUAGUGCAGAGGUAGAUGGAAUUCCCGGUGUAGCGGUGGAAUGCGUAGAUAUCGGGAGGAACACCAGUGGCGAAGGCGGUCUACUGGGCACCAACUGACGCUGAGGCUCGAAAGCAUGGGUAGCAAACAGGAUUAGAUACCCUGGUAGUCCAUGCCGUAAACGAUGAUUACUAGGUGUUGGGGGAUUGACCCCCUCAGUGCCGCAGUUAACACAAUAAGUAAUCCACCUGGGGAGUACGACCGCAAGGUUGAAACUCAAAGGAAUUGACGGGGGCCCGCACAAGCAGUGGAGUAUGUGGUUUAAUUCGAAGCAACGCGAAGAACCUUACCAGGUCUUGACAUCCGAUGCAUAGCACAGAGAUGUGUGAAAUCCUUCGGGACAUCGAGACAGGUGGUGCAUGGUUGUCGUCAGCUCGUGUCGUGAGAUGUUGGGUUAAGUCCCGCAACGAGCGCAACCCUUAUUGCCAGUUACUACGUUAAGAGGACUCUGGCGAGACUGCCGUUGACAAAACGGAGGAAGGUGGGGAUGACGUCAAAUCAUCAUGCCCUUUAUGACCUGGGCUACACACGUACUACAAUGGCGUUAAACAAAGAGAAGCAAGACCGCGAGGUGGAGCAAAACUCAAAAACAACGUCUCAGUUCAGAUUGCAGGCUGCAACUCGCCUGCAUGAAGUCGGAAUUGCUAGUAAUCGCGGAUCAGCAUGCCGCGGUGAAUACGUUCCCGGGGCUUGUACACACCGCCCGUCACACAUGAGAACCCGGGGGGACCCGAGUCGAUAGUCUAACCGCAAGGGAGACGUCGCCGAAGGUAAAACUGGU
rnacentral:rRNA from 1 species